CUGGGAACGGAAGUGCACUGGGCAGAGGGAUGGCGGGGCUGUGGCUCCGGGUUGGCUGGUGUGGAAUGAGACCUAGAUGUCUCACAGCUGCGUCUACUGUUCUGGGUUCUGAGGGUUCAACUCCAGUGAUAAGGCAUUACCAUUCCAGCAGCCUUUAUACUUCUUAAAUAACUACACUCCAACAGAGGAAGUAACAGGUACCAAAGGCAAAGAUGUUGGAGGCGGGGACAACACGAUGGCACAGCAUGGCUCUACCCACCACACCAGUGGACCGGAACUGGAUUCCUAAGACCAAUGCAGAAAGGCUCAUAACCUCAAGUAACUCUUGCUUCAGAGGAUCUGGCUUCCAUGGGCACCUGCAGUCACAUGCACAGUCCUAUGGUACACAAAUAAAGAAGUCUUUACAAGUAA